AGAGUUUGAUCCUGGCUCAGAUUGAACGCUGGCGGCAGGCCUAACACAUGCAAGUCGAACGGUAACAGGAAGCAGCUUGCUGCUUCGCUGACGAGUGGCGGACGGGUGAGUAAUGUCUGGGAAACUGCCUGAUGGAGGGGGAUAACUACCGGAAACGGUAGCUAAUACCGCAUAACGUCGCAAGACCAAAGAGGGGGACCUUCGGGCCUCUUGCCAUCGGAUGUGCCCAGAUGGGAUUAGCUAGUAGGUGGGGUAACGGCUCACCUAGGCGACGAUCCCUAGCUGGUCUGAGAGGAUGACCAGCCACACUGGAACUGAGACACGGUCCAGACUCCUACGGGAGGCAGCAGUGGGGAAUAUUGCACAAUGGGCGCAAGCCUGAU
rnacentral:rRNA from 1 species